UACGAAGGGGGCUAGCGUUGUUCGGAAUCACUGGGCGUAAAGCGCACGCAGGCGGUUCGUUAAGUCAGGGGUGAAAUGCCGAGGCUCAACCUCGGAACUGCCUUUGAUACUGGCGAUCUUAGAGUCCGGGAGAGGUGAGUGGAACUCCGAGUGUAGAGGUGAAAUUCGUAGAUAUUCGGAAGAACACCAGUGGCGAAGGCGGCUCGCUGGCCCGGUACUGACGCUCAGGUGCGAAAGCGUGGGGAGCAAACAGG
rnacentral:rRNA from 1 species